AGAUGUUCCCAGGACGCGAGCUAAGUCUGCCCGGCCGGCGCGCGCCGCUUCCGCUUUGGUGGGAAGGACCUCCCUUCCCCCUUAUAGAAACACUUUCUCCAGGCCGGGCCGGGCUUGGUAAACCUCAGCCGUGCCUGGGUAGAGGACGCCGGGCUGGGCCGAGCGGGGGUGGAAUGAGGGCGUCUAGAACAGAGAAAACUAAGUAGGAUGGGGUCGUCCCCCCAGUAAUCUGGAAAACAGUUACAGCAACAGGCUCCUCUCAUCAGACGGCAGUGCUGGUCGUUUCCUCACUGGUUUGCGGGGAAGGCUGGGCAGAAAAAGGAUGCAACCUUGUUCUCAACCACUUGCUAUCUCGUGAUUCAGGGAUUGGAUGAGUCUCUAUGGUUUGUUUUGCCCUGAAGAGCAGAAGGCUUCUGUCCCAACUGGUGUUGCCAAAGCAACAUAUUAAUUCCAUGCCAUGAUCCUGGGUCAAGAUCUGCACAAUCUGAUUGGGCAUGUCACCUCGGAUGGCAAGGGAGUGGAAGUGGUCAAAAUCAUGGAGUCCCAGCUUUCGGAGACGCCUUGCAGCUGCCCGGUAACACUUCCAGGGUUGGGGCUCCACAAGGAGGUAGUGGCAGAGGGAGGAAAGAUGGGCCAGGAACUCCCAUAGGCCAUGGUCUCCAUGAUUCAGAUGAAUCCACAUGGUUAUUGACAUGCAGAAGCCAAUGUCAAAAACUGAACGUCCAAAUUGGCUUAAGAAAGAGCUCAAGAGAACCUUCCGGGUCCUUUGAUUCAUGAAGUCCAGGGUGAUAAAAGUCAAGGCAUCAGGAAAAGGACAUUCUUUUUCGGCUCGCUUCACCAGGACUGGAUCUAUGUCGCAGCAGAGGAGACGGAAUUCUCUUGAGGCAUCUGAGCAGGUUUCCCCGUCAGGUAGGGAGAGGAAGUGUUUGUAUAGAGCCACACUCAGAUCCUAGAGGAAUCCAAAACAGCUUUGUCACUGCAGUUCUCAAUCAGUGAAUGGAAGAGAAAUCUGUAUCAUUCUCCCACUGAGAAUGCCACUUACCUCUGGCUGUAUAGGAUGUGAGGUUCCUAAACCAUAACCUAAAGAGGUUGUGCAAAAAUUUUCUACAGAGUAGGCUCUCAGUGCCCUCCAGGGGUCACAUGCUGUAAUGCAUCAUCCCCAUAUUUUCCUGACACUGAUGAUAGAUUGGGUUGUAUAGCUGAAAGUUACAGCCAAAUGGAUGCAGCAAAGGAACCUACAGCAGUAUUUCCCAGCUUAAGUAAUAUGCUGAUAAACUCACUCUUUUUCUGGGUAUCUCAAGACCCCAGGGCGGAAGAAAGGGGUCCAGAGGCAUAACCAGUGUCUCUUACCAGGAAAGUGAGGAAUACAGCAAGCACAAUCUUACAAAAACCUGCUUCUCAGACCCGCGGUGGGGGAAGUCUGGAUUCCAAAGUCCUCAUUCAGCCUUCACUAAAGCUUCAAUUUUACUGUCUUAGGAUUCACCACCUCCUUCUGAGACAUUCUGCUUCUAUAACCAUCAUUGCUAAAAGUCACUGCUAACAACCUUCUAGACAAGUCCAAUGAUUUGUGAUUUUUACCACAUUAGCACCUUUUUUACUCUUAAGUCACCAUCUCCUUUCUCUAACUUUGAAUUCUUUUUUUUUUUGAGACAAAGUCUGGUUCUGUCGGCCAGGCUGGAGUGCAAUGGCGUGAUCUCAGCAACCUCUGCCUCCCAGGUUCAAGCGAUUCUCCUGCCUCAGCCUCCUAAGUAGCUGGGAUUACAGGCAUGCAUCACCACACUCAGCUAAUUUUUGUAUUUUUAUUAGAGACAGGGUUUCACCAUGUUGGCCAGGCUGGUCUUUAACUGACCUCAAGUGAUCCACCUGCCUCGGCCUCCCAAAGUGCUGGGACUAUAGGAAUGAGCCACUGCACCUGGCCUCUUUGAUUUCUAUAACCAUUAUAACUAACUCAAAUUUGUGUUUUUCCACAUAGUAUUUUCAAGGCAUUUUUCUGUUUACUACUUUGUUUGCUUGGUGUAACAAGCAUGUGAGGAAAAUAUUUAUUUAUGCCUUUUCUGCAGGUGAAGAAAAUGCACAAUGGAAACCACCCAGAUGUCCAGUGAUAGUGGCAUGGACAAAUAAAUGUGGUAUAAUCAUGAAGAUAGAAUACUAAAUAGCAGUUAAAAAAUGAAGGCACCCAGCUUGGUGCACAACAUGGAUGAUUCUCACAAAUACAUAAUGUUGAGAAAAAAAGCAAGCCAUAACAGAAAAUAUAUGAAAAGCAUCCAUUUACAUGAAGCUCAAAAAUGGGUGAAAUUAAAGUACAUCAUUCAGGGAAGAAAAACAGUACACUAUAAAGAAAAGCAAGGAAACAACAGAAGGCUAGUUGUUACCUCUGGGUAGAGAUAGAGGUUUAUGAACAGGAAAAGGCAUAUAGGGGAAGUUGUGGGGUGCUGAAAAUGUUUAUUAUUUAUUUAUUUAUUUAUUUUUGAGACAGGAUCUUACUCUGUUUCCCAGGCUGGAGUACAGUGGUGUGAUCACUGCAACCUUGACUUCCCAGGCUCCAGAGAUCCUCCUACUUCAGCCUUAUGAGUAGCUGGAACCACAGGUGCACACCACCAUGCCCAGCUAAUUUUUGUAUUUUUGGUAGGGAUGAGAUUUUGCCAUGUUGCCCAGGCUGAUCUCAAACUCCCGAGCUCAAGCAAUCCACCAGCGUCAGUCUCUGAAAAUGCUGGGAUUACAGCGUCAGCCACUGCACCCAGCAGUUUUUUGGGUUUUUUGUUGUUGUUUUAUUUGAGACAGGGUCUCACUUCGUCACCCAGGCUGGGGUAUGUGGCACAAUCAAGGCUCACUGCAGCCUCGACCUCCUGGGUUCAAGCGAUCCUCCUCCCUCAGCUCUCUAAGUAGCUGGGACUACAGAUGCCCACCACCACACCUGGCUAAUUUUUUUUAGAGAUGGGGUUUUGCCAUGUUGCCCAGGCUGGGAAAGGAGUUUUUAAAAUUGAAAAAAAAAAGCACCCAUAAAUUAUGGUACAUCUAUCCAAUGAAACAUUAGGAAGCUGCUAAAAAAAGAAUGUGGUGAUAUAAAUAAUCUCAGAAUUAAAAGCUAAAAAAAAAAAAAAAAAAAAAA
rnacentral:lncRNA from 1 species